CCCAAAAAAUCGACGGAAGAAUUCCGGAAAGAGAACACAAAAAUAAAGUGAAAUACUUUAUCUUUAAUUUUAGGACCAGCAUCUUUGCUUGUUAAUCAUUUACUGGUACAAUAUUUAAAUACCAGCUUUGAGAUUAUGGAGAGCAGUGGAGCUGUUGGUCGCCGUCGAUGCAAUUCACGCAUAAAUGCUGAAGAUCAGGCAUUGGAUCAAAUUGCAAAAGAG
rnacentral:lncRNA from 1 species